GAUGAACGCUGGCGGCGUGCCUAAUACAUGCAAGUCGAGCGAACAGACGAGGAGCUUGCUCCUUCGACGUUAGCGGCGGACGGGUGAGUAACACGUAGGUAACCUACCUAUAAGACUGGGAUAACUUCGGGAAACCGGAGCUGAUACCGGAUAAUAUUUCGAACCGCAUGGUUCGAUAGUGAAAGAUGGCUUUGCUAUCACUUAUAGAUGGACCUGCGCCGUAUUAGCUAGUUGGUAAGGUAACGGCUUACCAAGGCAACGAUACGUAGCCGACCUGAGAGGGUGAUCGGCCACACUGGAACUGAGACACGGUCCAGACUCCUACGGGAGGCAGCAGUAGGGAAUCUUCCGCAAUGGGCGAAAGCCUGACGGAGCAACGCCGCGUGAGUGAUGAAGGUCUUCGGAUCGUAAAACUCUGUUAUUAGGGAAGAACAAACGUGUAAGUAACUGUGCACGUCUUGACGGUACCUAAUCAGAAAGCCACGGCUAACUACGUG
rnacentral:rRNA from 1 species